rnacentral:lncRNA from 1 species
UCCGUAUUUGUCGAUCAUAGCAAUUUCUUACCGUGGAAUCGAUGGCGUUGUCCGCUUUUCUACUACUCUCGAAAUUGGAAUCUUGUGUGUGGCUUCCAUUUCUUUUCUUCAACUAUACUCUCUAACUUCCUUCUUUGGUCGAGGUCGGUCCUCAAAUAAAAUGGGUGGAGCUUCUCCUACCCUUCGUACCCAAAAAAAAAAUAAAAAUAAAAAAGGAAAAACCUCAGCUAUUUUGCGAGCAGCUAGUUAAAUUUGAACAUGUUCGAGUUUGAAUCUCGUGUCAAGUUUGAAGAUGAGCAAAUUGUCAAAAGCUAAUUACGUACCGUGGGG